rnacentral:tRNA from 1 species
UCCUUGGUGGCUCAGAGGUUAAAGCAUCUGCCUGCAAUGUGGAAGGCCCAGGUUCGAUUCCUAGGUCGGGAA